AUUAAUUAAUUAAAAAUAAAAUUGGAAUUAUCCAGAGAACAGCAUGGUUCCUGUGCAAGGAUGACAUGCAAAUUCAUGAAGCAUUCGGUGUUUUU
rnacentral:snRNA from 1 species